rnacentral:rRNA from 1 species
AUACGGAGGGGGUUAGCGUUGUUCGGAAUUACUGGGCGUAAAGCGCACGUAGGCGGACUGGAAAGUUGGGGGUGAAAUCCCGGGGCUCGACCCCGGAACUGCCUCCAAAACUUCCAAUCUAGAGAUCGAGAGAGGUGAGUGGAAUUCCAAGUGUAGAGGUGAAAUUCGUAGAUAUUUGGAGGAACACCAGUGGCGAAGGCGGCUCACUGGCUCGAUACUGACGCUGAGGUGCGAAAGCGUGGGGAGCAAACAGGAUUAGAUACCCUAGUAGUCC